rnacentral:rRNA from 1 species
AGUUUGAUCAUGGCUCAGAUUGAACGCUGGCGGCAGGCCUAACACAUGCAAGUCGAGCGGUAGAGAGAAGCUUGCUUCUCUUGAGAGCGGCGGACGGGUGAGUAAUGCCUAGGAAUCUGCCUAGUGGUGGGGGAUAACGUUCGGAAACGGACGCUAAUACCGCAUACGUCCUACGGGAGAAAGCGGGGGACCUUCGGGCCUCGCGCCAUUAGAUGAGCCUAGGUCGGAUUAGCUAGUUGGUGAGGUAAAGGCUCACCAAGGCGACGAUCCGUAACUGGUCUGAGAGGAUGAUCAGUCACACUGGAACUGAGACACGGUCCAGACUCCUACGGGAGGCAGCAG